rnacentral:tRNA from 1 species
UGGCUCAGCGGUUAAGAGCACCCGACUGCUGUUCCAGAGGUCCUGAGUUCAAUUCUCAG